rnacentral:rRNA from 1 species
UACAGAGGUGGCAAGCGUUGUUCGGAAUUACUGGGCGUAAAGGGCGCGUAGGCGGUCUUUUAAGUCUUGUGUGAAAUCCCUCGGCUCAACUGAGGAACUGCACGGGAUACUGGAAGACUUGAGUUCGGGAGAGGGAAGCGGAAUUCCGGGUGUAGCGGUGAAAUGCGUAGAUAUCCGGAGGAAUACCGGUGGCGAAGGCGGCUUCCUGGACCGAUUACUGACGCUGAGGCGCGAAAGCUAGGGGAGCAAACGGG